rnacentral:rRNA from 1 species
UGGGGAAUUUUGGACAAUGGGCGCAAGCCUGAUCCAGCAAUGCCGCGUGUGUGAAGAAGGCCUUCGGGUUGUAAAGCACUUUUGUCCGGAAAGAAAUCCGUCUGGCUAGUACCCGGACGGGAUGACGGUACCGGAAGAAUAAGCACCGGCUAACUACGUGCCAGCAGCCGCGGUAAUACGUAGGGUGCGAGCGUUAAUCGGAAUUACUGGGCGUAAAGCGUGCGCAGGCGGCUUUGUAAGACAGAUGUGAAAUCCCCGGGCUCAACCUGGGAACUGCAUUUGUGACUGCAAGGCUAGAGUGCGUCAGAGGGAGGUGGAAUUCCGCGUGUAGCAGUGAAAUGCGUAGAGAUGCGGAGGAACACCGAUGGCGAAGGCAGCCUCCUGGGAUGACACUGACGCUCAUGCACGAAAGCGUGGGGAGCAAACA